AUGCAUGGGACUGUCCUCCUGGUGGAGGGCUGGGGGCCUGGGGUGCUACAUUCACCCCUGCACCGCCUAGGUGCAACAGUGUCUGUGGGUGGGCUGUACCAGAAGGGAGGCAAGGGAGAGUGCCCGGGCUUGGACCUCCCCUCAGAACCCCCGCAGGGGCACAAAAGGAGCUUCCCUGGCCUGCAGCACCCCACCCCCACCCCAAGCUGCAUAGCAAGAGCACUGCGGAGCCACACUACAUCCUGCCACCCCCUCCUCCAUCCCACAGCGUCCCCGCCCCCCAUCACUGCAGCACAGAGCCCCUAUUCCCCUCAGCAGAGGCCCGUACACACACCCCGGAGCAGGGAAACGGAGGCAGAUUCUCCCAGAAGGGGUGACCCUGUGGGGGCUGGGCCUAUUGUUGCCCCCUCCCCUCCAAGCCAGACUGUUAGGUACCCCCACCUGGUCUGCUCCGCAUCCCAGGCUGGGCAGCUAGGCCUAGCGAGGUGGCUGCAGCAGCCUGGCUGUGCCAGCCCCUCCCCCAGCGCCGCGGCUGCCUCUGCAGCAGGCGGAAGGGCGCAGGGGCUUUAUCCCUCAGAGGCCGGCUGGGCACCCCGGGGUGGGGGUGCGGGGCGGCCUGGCCAUUUGGGGGGAUGGAUCUGCAGCCCUCCCCUGCGACAGGGGACGGCCCCUUCCCGGGUGUCCCACGCCAGAGGCCGUCGCGUCCCUCCCACGACCGAGGCUCCACACCUCCCGGACCGGCUCCGGGCCAGGGUCCGCCUGCUCCGGUUCUGGCCCCCGCGGGGGUGCCGUUCGGGACGUCGGGGGCUCGCGCAGAUCCGCGCUGGAUCUCAGGUGGCCCUGGUGGGUCCCGGAUUGUUGUCCCCCCCGUUGCACACCCAAAGAAGGAGCUGCGUGGAGAAGGACGGCAACGCGGCGGGCGGGCGGGCGUGGGCUGGGCCCGGGUCCGCCGAGCGCUGCGGAAGGCGCGGAAGGGGCCUCCCUGUCCCGGGCGUCCUGGCCGGCCGGGGCCGCUCACUCCGGGGCCGCCUCCUCCUCCCGGGCGCCCGCCGGGUGCCGCUGCCCCAGCGCCCCCGACGCUGCGCCCUCAGCCCCCCGGCCCGGGCCGGUGAACCCAGUCCCCGGCGCCUGCCCCGGCCCCCGCCCCGCCGGCGCCUCCGCUCACCUCGCUCGCGCUCGCCACUGGGGCGGGACCGGGCAGCUCUUCGGCGGCCCGGCGAGGGAGCCAGCCGGAGCAGGGGCCGAGGAGCGCGCGGGCCACGUCGCCGUCACCGCCGUCGCCGCCGCCAACGCCGCGAGGCGCUCGCUCGACCGGGGCGCGCCGCACUGCGGGCGAGCGCACGCGCUCGCGGCCGCAUCCCAGCCCGCGGCUCGGCAGGCGCAGCCAGCAGUUCCAGCGCAGCUCGGAGCUCAGGCUCAGGCUCGGGCGUCCGGCGUCCGGCGGGGCGGUGUGGGGGGAGCCGGCUCGGCCGCCGCGCUCGGCCGCGAGUGACAGGCCCGGGGCGGAGGGCGGGGCCGCCGGCGGGGAUGAGGUCAUGCCGAGCGGAAAAAGCCCCUGACGUCACCUGCAGCCAAUCAGCUCGCGCGGCUCGGGGGCAGGUGACGUCAGCGGAGCCCGGGCUCGGGGUGAAGCCGAGGCGGUGGCCGCGGGGGGCGGGGUGCAGGGUGCGGGUGGGUCGCGCUGCCGCCGCCUUCCGUCCUCACCCCGGGACCGGCUCUUAA
ensembl:lncRNA